AGCCACAGCCAUAUCACCCUGCAGCCCAAGACUGGUUACUCACUUAAGCUAAGCAGAGCUGAGCCUGGUCAGUACGUAGUUGGGAGACCACAUGUGAAAACUAGGGUACUGUUGGAA
ensembl:rRNA 5S_rRNA 5S ribosomal RNA